GGGCCCGCACAAGCGGAGGAACAUGUGGUUUAAUUCGAUGAUACGCGAGGAACCUUACCCGGGUUUGAACGCAUUCGGACCGGUGGUGAAAGCCACCUUUCAGCAAUGACCGUUUGCGAGGUGCUGCAUGGUUGUCGUCAGCUCGUGCCGUGAGGUGUCGGCUUAAGUGCCAUAACGAGCGCAACCCUUAUUGAUAGUUACCAGCAUGUAAUGAUGGGGACUCUAUCAAGACUGCCAGCGUAAGCUGUGAGGAAGGUGGGGAUGACGUCAAAUCAGCACGGCCCUUACAUCCGGGGCGACACACGUGUUACAAUGGCGUGGACAAAGAGCAGCUACCUGGCGACAGGAUGCUAAUCUCCAAACCACGUCUCAGUUCGGAUCGGAGUCUGCAACUCGACUCCGUGAAGCUGGAUUCGCUAGUAAUCGCGCAUCAGCCAUGGCG
rnacentral:rRNA from 1 species